AACGAACGCUGGCGGCAUGCCUAACACAUGCAAGUCGAACGAGACCUUCGGGUCUAGUGGCGCACGGGUGCGUAACGCGUGGGAACCUGCCCUUAGGUUCGGAAUAACUCCCCGAAAGGGGUGCUAAUACCGGAUAAUUUCUUCUGACCAAAGAUUUAUCGCCUUUGGAUGGGCCCGCGUUGUAUUAGCUAGUUGGUAGGGUAAAAGCCUACCAAGGCUACGAUGCGUAGCUUGUCUGAGAGGCUGAUCAGCCAAACUGGGACUGAGACACGGCCCAGAAUACGAGGGGAGGGAGCAGUAGGGGAGCUUGGGGAAUGGGCGAAAGACUGACGAAGGAAAGCGGGGUGAGUGAGGCAGGUCUUGUGCUCGUAAAACGCUGUUAUGAGGGAAGAACAAAUAUGUCCGUAACUAUGCCGGUCUUGACGGUAGCGAAUAAGAAAGCAACGGGUAACUACGUG
rnacentral:rRNA from 1 species